UCCAGACUUUGAUCAUGGCUCAGAUUGAACGCUGGCGGCAGGCCUAACACAUGCAAGUCGAGCGGUAGCACAGAGAGCUUGCUCUCGGGUGACGAGCGGCGGACGGGUGAGUAAUGUCUGGGAAACUGCCUGAUGGAGGGGGAUAACUACUGGAAACGGUAGCUAAUACCGCAUAACGUCGCAAGACCAAAGUGGGGGACCUUCGGGCCUCAUGCCAUCAGAUGUGCCCAGAUGGGAUUAGCUAGUAGGUGGGGUAACGGCUCACCUAGGCGACGAUCCCUAGCUGGUCUGAGAGGAUGACCAGCCACACUGGAACUGAGACACGGUCCAGACUCCUACGGGAGGCAGCAGUGGGGAAUAUUGCACAAUGGGCGCAAGCCUGAUGCAGCCAUGCCGCGUGUGUGAAGAAGGCCUUCGGGUUGUAAAGCACUUUCAGCGGGGAGGAAGGCGGUGAGGUUAAUAACCUCAUCGAUUGACGUUACCCGCAGAAGAAGCACCGGCUAACUCCGUGCCAGCAGCCGCGGUAAUACGGAGGGUGCAAGCGUUAAUCGGAAUUACUGGGCGUAAAGCGCACGCAGGCGGUCUGUCAAGUCGGAUGUGAAAUCCCCGGGCUCAACCUGGGAACUGCAUUCGAAACUGGCAGGCUAGAGUCUUGUAGAGGGGGGUAGAAUUCCAGGUGUAGCGGUGAAAUGCGUAGAGAUCUGGAGGAAUACCGGUGGCGAAGGCGGCCCCCUGGACAAAGACUGACGCUCAGGUGCGAAAGCGUGGGGAGCAAACAGGAUUAGAUACCCUGGUAGUCCACGCUGUAAACGAUGUCGAUUUGGAGGUUGUGCCCUUGAGGCGUGGCUUCCGGAGCUAACGCGUUAAAUCGACCGCCUGGGGAGUACGGCCGCAAGGUUAAAACUCAAAUGAAUUGACGGGGGCCCGCACAAGCGGUGGAGCAUGUGGUUUAAUUCGAUGCAACGCGAAGAACCUUACCUGGUCUUGACAUCCACAGAACUUUCCAGAGAUGGAUUGGUGCCUUCGGGAACUGUGAGACAGGUGCUGCAUGGCUGUCGUCAGCUCGUGUUGUGAAAUGUUGGGUUAAGUCCCGCAACGAGCGCAACCCUUAUCCUUUGUUGCCAGCGGUUAGGCCGGGAACUCAAAGGAGACUGCCAGUGAUAAACUGGAGGAAGGUGGGGAUGACGUCAAGUCAUCAUGGCCCUUACGACCAGGGCUACACACGUGCUACAAUGGCAUAUACAAAGAGAAGCGACCUCGCGAGAGCAAGCGGACCUCAUAAAGUAUGUCGUAGUCCGGAUUGGAGUCUGCAACUCGACUCCAUGAAGUCGGAAUCGCUAGUAAUCGUAGAUCAGAAUGCUACGGUGAAUACGUUCCCGGGCCUUGUACACACCGCCCGUCACACCAUGGGAGUGGGUUGCAAAAGAAGUAGGUAGCUUAACCUUCGGGAGGGCGCUUACCACUUUGUGAUUCAUGACUGGGGUGAAGUCGUAACAAGCUAACCGUA
rnacentral:rRNA from 1 species